rnacentral:rRNA from 1 species
UACGUAGGGGGCGAGCGUUGUCCGGAUUUAUUGGGCGUAAAGAGCUCGUAGGCGGUUUGGCAAGUCGGGUGUGAAAACUCCGGGCUCAACUCGGAGACGCCACUCGAUACUGCCAUGACUCGAGUCCGGUAGGGGAGUGCGGAAUUCCUGGUGUAGCGGUGAAAUGCGCAGAUAUCGGGAGGAACACCGGUGGCGAAGGCGGUUCUCUGGGCCUUACCUGACGCUGAGGAGCGAAAGCGUGGGGAGCGAACAGG